UUUGACAUCUAAGUACUAAGAAGAGACC
rnacentral:piRNA from 1 species